rnacentral:rRNA from 1 species
AGAAAAUAGAUACCCUGGUAGUCCCAGCCGUAAACGAUGCUCGCUAGGUGUCAGGCAUGGCGCGACCGUGUCUGGUGCCGCAGGGAAGCCGUGAAGCGAGCCACCUGGGAAGUACGGCCGCAAGGCUGAAACUUAAAGGAAUUGGCGGGGAGCACAACAACGGGUGGAGCCUGCGGUUUAAUUGGACUCAACGCCGGACAACUCACCGGGGGCGGACAGCAAUAUGUAGGCCAGGCUGAAGACCUUGCCUGAAUCGCUGAGAGGAGGUGCAUGGCCGUCGCCAGUUCGUACUGUGAAGCAUCCUGUUAAGUCAGGCAACGAGCGAGACCCGUGCCCACUGUUACCAGCAUGUCCUCCGGGACGAUGGGUACUCUGUGGGGACCGCCGAUGUUAAAUCGGAGGAAGGUGCGGGCCACGGUAGGUCAGUAUGCCCCGGAAUCUCCCGGGCUACACGCGGGCUACAAUGGAUGGGACAAUGGGU